GGGUGUGUUGAAGGAGACGCCUCCAAGUUUAGCCCUUCUCCCUGCUGCUACCUCAAUACACCCCGUCGUAAGAAGAAAAGCAAAAAUUGGAGCAUCAUCAGCAAGAUUAUGAAGGUUAAGACAGAAUUGAUAGAAAAGGAACAAUAACUGUGAGCAAGAACCCUUUUGCUCCCAUACAAAACGAAUACUGCAUUGAGGAAAUUAUCAACGACUACAGCAAACAAGGAAAAAGUGCCAUCCACCAUUUCUACAACACAGUCUGAUUCAAGAAGGGUUGACCCGACAACUCACUUGGAAUGGGCCAAUAGACCUUCACCUCCCCAGCCGCCCUGCUUGGACUUAACAAUAUACUUAUUAUGAC